rnacentral:rRNA from 1 species
GACGAACGCCGGCGGCGUGCCUAAUACAUGCAAGUUGAGCGAUGAAGCUUGGUGCUUGCACCAAUUUGAAGAGCAGCGAACGGGUGAGUAACGCGUGGGGAAUCUGCCUUUGAGCGGGGGACAACAUUUGGAAACGAAUGCUAAUACCGCAUAACAACUUUAAACAUAAGUUUUAAGUUUGAAAGAUGCAAUUGCAUCACUCAAAGAUGAUCCCGCGUUGUAUUAGCUAGUUGGUGAGGUAAAGGCUCACCAAGGCGAUGAUACAUAGCCGACCUGAGAGGGUGAUCGGCCACAUUGGGACUGAGACACGGCCCAAACUCCUACGGGAGGCAGCAGUAGGGAAUCUUCGGCAAUGGACGAAAGUCUGACCGAGCAACGCCGCGUGAGUGAAGAAGGUUUUCGGAUCGUAAAACUCUGUUGGUAGAGAAGAACGUUGGUGAGAGUGGAAAGCUCAUCAAGUGACGGUAACUACCCAGAAAGGGACGGCUAACUACGUG